CGGUCCAGACUCCUACGGGAGGCAGCAGUAGGGAAUCUUCCGCAAUGGGCGAAAGCCUGACGGAGCAACGCCGCGUGAGUGAUGAAGGGUUUCGGCUCGUAAAACUCUGUUAUUAGGGAAGAACAAAUGUGUAAGUAACUGUGCACAUCUUGACGGUACCUAAUCAGAAAGCCACGGCUAACUACGUGCCAGCAGCCGCGGUAA
rnacentral:rRNA from 2 species